rnacentral:rRNA from 1 species
GACGAACGCUGGCGGCGUGCUUAACACAUGCAAGUCGAGCGAGGUCCAUCCGGUGGUAACACCGGUGAAGACCUAGCGGCGAACGGGUGAGUAACACGUGAGCAACCUGCCCCGAAGACGGGGAUAACACCGGGAAACUGGUGCUAAUACCGGAUACCCUCAUUUGACCGCAUGAUCGGGUGAGGAAAUGGAUUCCGCUUCGGGAGGGGCUCGCGGGCUAUCAGCUUGUUGGUGGGGUAACGGCUCACCAAGGCUACGACGGCUAGCUGGUCUGAGA